UUUGGUGCAUGGUCUAAACUUGAAUUCUGGUUGGUAGGUUUGGUUACUUCUGGCAUGAUGGGGACUCAAACACAGGCACAGCAGGGAAGCCCCCUGGGCUGGGGCAGCUCUGGCCUCAGCCUCUCCUUGGCUCAUGCUACAUGUCUGUGAAAUGCAGGCUGCUGACUACAGCCAAAUUACCUACAAAACAAGGAGUCAGCCGAGAUAAAGAAUUGGAGAAAAUGGCUCUGGUUGUCUGAGGUGCUCUGCAAUAUUUGUCAUCUGUGGAUAAGCAGCAAUCAGCAAAACUCACAAUAAGCGUCCCUGGCAGGUCAGGUGCUGUACAUGGCCUUUGGCACCCUGGUUCAUCUGAAGGAUACAAGGAAGGAUCAGUAGAUGGGUGAAUCUCAGAUGAUGCUGAAAUGCUCCCAAGGAGUGAUAAAGCUGAUUCUGAAUUUCUGAGUUCCGUGGAGUUUAUCUCCUGGAAGGAGGGCAGACAGUCUGGAUUUAAUAUAC